CUUCGCCUUUUUUACGAACACAAAAUUCAAGGAUCACACAUUUGCCUUUAAUUAUCUAUACGAAAAUUGCUGUACUCGUGAAUAUCAGCACCGGCUGUUAUCGACGGCUUACUUUACACUAGUAAGUUUGUCUCAUGGGUAAUUGUGUUUUUUCGCUGUUGUUUCGUUGCUGUGUGGUGGACAAAUACAUGAAAUCUCUGUGCCAUCAUCAAACAUGUUAAUGGCUAUAUAUCGGGUAAUUCAAACCCUUUUUUCUUCGCAUAGAAACAACUCUUCGUUAAUCUGAGCAUGGAAGUAAUACUUUAUAUCACGAACUAUAAAUGAG
rnacentral:lncRNA from 1 species